rnacentral:rRNA from 1 species
CCCUUAGAUGUUCUGGGCCGCACGCGCGCUACACUGAUGAACGCAACGAGACCACCUGUACCGAAAGGCAUGGGUAAACUUGUGAAAGUUCAUCGUGAUGGGGAUAGAUUAUUGCAAUUAUUAAUCUUCAACGAGGAAUUCCUCGUAAGCGCGAGUCAUCAGCUCGCGUUGAUUACGUCCCUGCCCUUUGUACACACCGCCCGUCGCUCCUACCGAUUGAAUGGUCCGGUGAAAUCUUCGGAUUGCUGGAUAGGACUUCAUUGACCUAUCUGCGAGAAGUUGCUUGAACCUUAUCAUUUAGAGGAAGGAGAAGUCGUAACA